rnacentral:rRNA from 1 species
AGUGAACGCUGGCGGCAGGCCUAAUACAUGCAAGUCGAACGGCAGCACAGUGGAGCUUGCUCCACGGGUGGCGAGUGGCGGACGGGUGAGGAAUACGUGGGAAUCUGCCCAGUCGUGGGGGAUAACGUAGGGAAACUUACGCUAAUACCGCAUGCGCCCUUCGGGGGAAAGCCGGGGACCUUCGGGCCUGGCGCGAUUGGAUGAGCCCACGUGGGAUUAGCUAGUUGGCGGGGUAACGGCCCACCAAGGCGACGAUCCGUAGCUGGUCUGAGAGGAUGAUCGGCCACACUGGAACUGAGACACGGUCCAGACUCCGACGGGAGGCAGCAGUAGGGAAUAUUGGACAAUGGGCGCAAGCCUGAUCCAGCCAUGCCGCGUGAGUGAAGAAGGCCUUCGGGUUGUAAAGCUCUUUUGUCCGGAAAGAAAAGCUUCGGGUUAAUACCCUGGAGUCCUGACGGUACCGGAAGAAUAAGCACCGGCUAACUUCGUGCCAGCCGCCGCCGUAAUAC